rnacentral:misc_RNA from 1 species
GCAAAAAGAAACAUGUCAACUAAAAUAGCCUUGUCAGCAGCGUCCUUUCUACCAUUAGGAACAUCAAUAAGUUUAACACCUGCAUAUGGGGAUUUUAAUUCCUUCCCAAGGCGACUUAGAGAGGGCUGCCAGAGAACUGGUGUUAAACUUAUUGAUGUUCCUAAUGGUAGAAAGGAUGCUGCUGACAAAGCUAUUUUAGUUGACAUGUUUCUUUUUGCCCUUGACAACCCACCACCUUCUUCCAUCAUGCUGAUAUCUGGGGAUGUUGAUUUUGCUCCAGCACUCCACAUUCUUGGUCAACGUGGAUAUACUGUGAUCCUUGUUAUCCCUUCUGGUGUGGGUGUCUCAUCUGCUUUGAGCAAUGCUGGUAAGUUUGUUUGGGACUGGCCUAGUGUGGCUCGUGGGGAAGGCUUUGUACCCCCUUCAAAGGGUUUAAUGCCUCCUUAUGCUGGACCAGCUGACAUGGCUGGGUAUUUCAUGGGGUGUCAUAUAAACGACAACCUUGAUGGUCAAAAUGAAGAAGAGGCAAUUGUAUACAGAGGAAUCUCCCAAAGCUAUUAUAAUUCAAGAGAUUUUUCUGUAGUGUCACGGUCUUUGUCUGAAUACAACUGUAGUUCUUCUAUAAAUAUGCCUUGUUUCCCCACAAGUAUGAGGUCACAGAGUCUCCCAUCUGGUUUGAAUGAAGUUUCAGCUGGUCCUGUUUUAUGUGAUGACCAAUAUCAUUCUACCAUGUGGGUACAGCCUGGGGAUAUAAAUGGUCUGAAGUUACAGAUGGUGAAGUUGCUUGAACUUUCAGGUGGA